GAUGAACGCUGACAGAAUGCUUAACACAUGCAAGUCAACUUGAACUUCGGUUUGGGUGGCGGACGGGUGAGUAACGCGUAAAGAACUUGCCUCACAGUUAGGGGCAACAUUUGGAAACGAAUGCUAAUACCUGAUAUUAUGAUUUUAGGGCAUCCUAGAAUUAUGAAAGCUAUAUGCGCUGUGAGAGAGCUUUGCGUCCCAUUAGCUAGUUGGAGAGGUAACGGCUCACCAAGGCGAUGAUGGGUAGCCGGCCUGAGAGGGUGAACGGCCACAAGGGGACUGAGACACGGCCCUUACUCCUACGGGAGGCAGCAGUGGGGAAUAUUGGACAAUGGACCAAGAGUCUGAUCCAGCAAUUCUGUGUGCACGAUGAAGUUUUUCGGAAUGUAAAGUGCUUUCAGUUGGGAAGAAAAAAAUGACGAUACCAACAGAAGAAGUGACGGCUAAAUACGUG
rnacentral:rRNA from 1 species